GACGAACGCUGGCGGCAUGCCUAACACAUGCAAGUCGAACGAUGCCUUCGGGCAUAUGUGCGCACGUGUGCGUAACCCGUGGGAAUCUGCCUUUCGGUUCGGAAUAACUCAGGGAAACUUGAGCUAAUACCGCAUAACGUCACAAGACCAAAGAUUUAUCACGGCAAGAUGGGGCCGCGUAGGAUUAGCUAGUUGGUGAGGUAAAGGCGCACCAACGCGAGGAUCCUUAGCUGGUCUGAGAGGAUGAUCAUCCACACUGGGACUGCGACACGGCCCACAAUGCGACGGAAGGGAGCAGUGGGGAACAUUGGAGACUGGGCGAAGGCGUGACACAGCCAUGCGGGGUGAGUGAUCAAGGGCUUAGGGUUGUAAAGCCCUUUUACACGGAACGAUAAUGACGGUAACGGGAGAAUAAGCACCGGCUAACUACGUG
rnacentral:rRNA from 1 species